rnacentral:lncRNA from 10 species
CCGUGGGAGGGAAGGCACUCUCUGUCAAGCUGCUGUCACCUUACCUGAAGUAAGGAGUCCACGCCUGCAUGUCCGAGGAAAACAGUUUUCUCAAACACAUUAGUUGAAAAACUGAAGACGCUGCCUAAAAUACAAGCUGAGUUAGAGACAGCCCUUGUAAGACUAGAAAAAGAAAUGGAAACUAAGUAACAUGAAUUAACAUAGUCCAGGGUCACAAAGCAACAUGGAACAAGAACCUGGAUCUGAAUUCAGAGGCAGAAUGCUGGAAAGCCAGUUAAACAUUUACUAGCACACCACUAGGCAUAGACAGACUGAAGCAACCUCUUAAGGUGGUAGCUAAGAGAACUCACACCCAGACCCUACUCUCUCAAGGCAGAGGGAGGACGAAACUCAACCAGGAAGCCAGAGAACACAGGAGCCACUCUACAUGCUCUACACAAACCAUCCCCUGGAAAAGAUAGCAGGGUACAGACUAGAACCGCAUAGUAAGGCUACCUAUCAUGAAUGCACUCCUGCCUGGGUGACAGAAUGGCUCUCCAGUGUCUUCUUCAAGCAAGUGUGUCGACAGUGAUUCAAGUAACUGAAAGAGAAACCAACAAAGUAUCAUUUGUCGCAAUAUCUCAAUUAUUCUCUUUUAACCAUCCUUAUCACUCUUGAUUUUCC